rnacentral:rRNA from 1 species
GACGAACGCUGGCGGCGUGCUUAACACAUGCAAGUCGAACGGAAAGGCCUCUGCUUGCAGGGGUGCUCGAGUGGCGAACGGGUGAGCAACACGUGGGUGAUCUGCCUUGUACUCUGGGAUAAGCUUGGGAAACUGGGUCUAAUACCGGAUAGGAACUGCCUUUAGUGUGGUGGUUGGAAAGUUUUUUCGGUGCAAGAUGAGCUCGCGGCCUAUCAGCUUGUUGGUGGGGUAAUGGCCUACCAAGGCGUCGACGGGUAGCCGGCCUGAGAGGGUGUACGGCCACAUUGGGACUGAGAUACGGCCCAGACUCCUACGGGAGGCAGCAGUGGGGAAUAUUGCACAAUGGGCGGAAGCCUGAUGCAGCGACGCCGCGUGGGGGAUGACGGCCUUCGGGUUGUAAACUCCUUUCGACAGGGACGAAGCGCAAGUGACGGUACCUGUAUAAGAAGCACCGGCUAACUACGUGCCAGCAGCCGCGGUAAUACGUAGGGUGCGAGCGUUGUCCGGAAUUACUGGGCGUAAAGAGCUCGUAGGUGGUUUGUCGCGUCGUCUGUGAAAUUCCGGGGCUUAACUCCGGGCGUGCAGGCGAUACGGGCAUAACUUGAGUGCUGUAGGGGAGACUGGAAUUCCUGGUGUAGCGGUGAAAUGCGCAGAUAUCAGGAGGAACACCGAUGGCGAAGGCAGGUCUCUGGGCAGUUACUGACGCUGAGGAGCGAAAGCAUGGGUAGCGAACAGGAUUAGAUACCCUGGUAGUCCAUGCCGUAAACGGUGGGCGCUAGGUGUAGGGGGCUUCCACGUCUUCUGUGCCGUAGCUAACGCAUUAAGCGCCCCGCCUGGGGAGUACGGCCGCAAGGCUAAAACUCAAAGGAAUUGACGGGGGCCCGCACAAGCGGCGGAGCAUGUGGAUUAAUUCGAUGCAACGCGAAGAACCUUACCUGGGCUUGGCAUACACCAGAUCGCUGCAGAGAUGUAGUUUCCCUUGUGGUUGGUGUACAGGUGGUGCAUGGUUGUCGUCAGCUCGUGUCGUGAGAUGUUGGGUUAAGUCCCGCAACGAGCGCAACCCUUGUCUUAUGUUGCCAGCAUUUUAGUUGGGGACUCAUGAGAGACUGCCGGGGUUAACUCGGAGGAAGGUGGGGAUGACGUCAAAUCAUCAUGCCCCUUAUGUCCAGGGCUUCACACAUGCUACAAUGGUCGGUACAACGCGCGGCGACACUGUGAGGUGGAGCGAAUCGCUGAAAGCCGGUCUUAGUUCGGAUUGGGGUCUGCAACUCGACCCCAUGAAGUCGGAGUCGCUAGUAAUCGUAGAUCAGCAAUGCUGCGGUGAAUACGUUCCCGGGCCU